rnacentral:rRNA from 1 species
UACGAAGGGGGGCUAGCGUUGCUCGGAAUCACUGGGCGUAAAGCGCACGUAGGCGGAUUCUUAAGUCAGGGGUGAAAUCCUGGAGCUCAACUCCAGAACUGCCUUUGAUACUGAGGGUCCUGAGUUCGGGAGAGGUGAGUGGAACUGCGAGUGUAGAGGUGAAAUUCGUAGAUAUUCGCAAGAACACCAGUGGCGAAGGCGGCUCACUGGCCCGAUACUGACGCUGAGGUGCGAAAGCGUGGGGAGCAAACAGG